rnacentral:rRNA from 1 species
AAGAUUAAGCCAUGCAUGUCUAAGUAUAAACACCUUUAUACAGUGAAACUGCGAAUGGCUCAUUAAAUCAGUUAUAGUUUAUUUGAUAGUACCUCACUACAUGGAUAACCGUAGUAAUUCUAGAGCUAAUACAUGCGAAAAGACCCGACUUCUGGAAGGGUUGUAUUUAUUAGAUAAAAAUCAAUGUCUUCGGACUCUUUGAUGAUUCAUAAUAACUUUUCGAAUCGCAU